rnacentral:rRNA from 1 species
GAUGAACGCUGGCGGCGUGCCUAAUACAUGCAAGUCGAGCGAACAGACGAGGAGCUUGCUCCUUUGACGUUAGCGGCGGACGGGUGAGUAACACGUAGGUAACCUACCUAUAAGACUGGGAUAACUUCGGGAAACCGGAGCUAAUACCGGAUAAUAUUUCGAACCGCAUGGUUCGAUAGUGAAAGAUGGCUUUGCUAUCACUUAUAGAUGGACCUGCGCCGUAUUAGCUAGUUGGUAAGGUAACGGCUUACCAAGGCAACGAUACGUAGCCGACCUGAGAGGGUGAUCGGCCACACUGGAACUGAGACACGGUCCAGACUCCUACGGGAGGCAGCAGUAGGGAAUCUUCCGCAAUGGGCGAAAGCCUGACGGAGCAACGCCGCGUGAGUGCUGAAGGUCUUCGGAUCGUAAAACUCUGUUAUUAGGGAAGAACAAACGUGUAAGUAACUGUGCACGUCUUGACGGUACCUAAUCAGAAAGCCACGGCUAACUACGUG